rnacentral:rRNA from 1 species
ACGGGACCCGCACAAGCGGUGGAUGAUGUGGUUUAAUUCGAUGCAACGACGAAAAACCUUACCCACCUUUGACAUGGCAGGAAUCCCGAAGAGAUUUGGGAGUGCUCGAAAGAGAACCUGCACACAGGUGCUGCAUGGCUGUCGUCAGCUCGUGUCGUGAGAUGUUGGGUUAAGUCCCGCAACGAGCGCAACCCUUGCCAUUAGUUGCUACGAAAGGGCACUCUAAUGGGACUGCCGGUGACAAACCGGAGGAAGGGUGGGGAUGACGUCAAGUCCUCAUCGGCCCUUAUAGGGUGGGGCUACACACGUCAUACAAUGGCCGGUACAGAGGGUAGCCAACCCGCGAGGGGGAGCCAAUCCCACAAAGCCGGUCGUAGUCCGGAUCGCAGUCUGCAACUCGACUGCGUGAAGUCGGAAUCGCUAGUAAUCGCGGAUCAGCAUGUCGCGGUGAAUACGUUCCCGGGUCUU